rnacentral:tRNA from 1 species
UGGAUCACCUCCUAACAGGGAGACAAACAACGAUUUUGAUGUCUGAGUUAUUUAUUCUUAGGCCAAAAUCCUGUCACCUUAGGUCGAUCGGUACCUCAACUUUGAAGCUAAGAGAGUUCCAGCAAUGGUUGUCUUCUUAGUGGAGAUUUUUAGUUCCUAAACUUUGUCUAGUUCACAACCCAUUAGGGAUGAGACUCCUGGGCCAUUAGCUCAGGUGGUUAGAGCGCACCCCUGAUAAGGGUGAGGUCCCUGGUUCAAGUCCAGGAUGGCCCAUUCGGUGUAGGGGGUUUAGCUCAGUUGGUAGAGCGCCUGCUUUGCAAGCAGGAUGUCAGGAGUUCGAGUCUCCUAACCUCCACUGACUACCAAAAUCCCCAUCUCCAAAACCUGGAGUAUGAACUCGUAUGGAUUGUGAUUUAGAUUUGUCCGCUAGAUGACCCUAGCUUCUUGUCAUUUUAAGGCAUGGAAAUAAUUCCAUGAUUUGAUUGAUAGGAUGCUGGGCUCGAUGCAAUGUAUUGAGAGAUCAAUGCAUUGUUUUGAUGUCUAGCCGAACCUUGACAACUGCAUAGUUUAAGUCUGGAAAGAAUAAAGCAUCUUUAUGGAUGCAUCAUUUUUUGUGUUAACGCAUGAAGGAGUGAUGUUAAUUCUAAAGCAAGAGCCGAGACUCCAGUAUGUUCUUUCAAAUGGGUCGAGCAUUUGAGAGUUUGAUUUUAAUUUCUAGUUUUAGGAGCUAUUUUAGUGUCUGACUUUAGAAAUUAGAAAAAUCUGUUUCAACAACAGCAAGCGUGCUGGAGAUACAUUGGUCAAGCUACAAAGGGCUCACGGCGGAUACCUUGGCACACAGAGGCGAUGAAGGA